GUGUUUGUACUUUAACGGUUACAAUUGUCCCCUUUCAAGCAAUAGAACUCGGGUUCGACUCCCGACAAACAUG